rnacentral:rRNA from 1 species
AAUAAGCGGAGGAAAAGAAACCAACAGGGAUUGCCCUAGUAACGGCGAGUGAAGCGGCAAUAGCUCAAAUUUGAAAGCUGGCCUUCUGGUCCGCAUUGUAAUUUGUAGAGGAUGCUUUUAGGCAGCCGCCGGUCUAAGUUCCUUGGAACAGGACGUCAUAGAGGGUGAGAAUCCCGUAUGUGACCGGCUCUGGCACCUUAUGUAAAGCUCCUUCGACGAGUCGAGUUGUUUGGGAAUGCAGCUCUAAAUGGGAGGUAAAUUUCUUCUAAAGCUAAAUACUGGCGAGAGACCGAUAGCGCACAAGUAGAGUGAUCGAAAGAUGAAAAGCACUUUGGAAAGAGAGUUAAAAAGCACGUGAAAUUGUUGAAAGGGAAGCGCUUGCAAUCAGACUUGGACUUGGCUGUUCAACCGGUCUUCUGACCGGCCUACUCAGUCUUGUCCAGGCCAGCAUCAGUUUCGGCGGCCGGAUAAAGGCCCUGGGAAUGUAGCUGUCCUUCACGGGACAGUGUUAUAGCCCAGGGUGUAAUACGGCCAGCCGGGACUGAGGUCCGCGCUUCGGCUAGGAUGCUGGCGUAAUGGUUGUAAGCGGCCCGUCUUGAAACACGGACCAAGGAGUCUAACAUCUAUGCGAGUGUUAGGGUGUCAAACCCUUACGCGUAAUGAAAGUGAACGGAGGUGGGAACCCGCAAGGGUGCACCAUCGACCGAUCCUGAUGUCUUCGGAUGGAUUUGAGUAAGAGCAUAGCUGUUGGGACCCGAAAGAUGGUGAACUAUGCCUGAAUAGGGUGAAGCCAGAGGAAACUCUGGUGGAGGCUCGCAGCGGUUCUGACGUGCAAAUCGAUCGUCAAAUUUGGGUAUAGGGGCGAAAGACUAAUCGAACCAUCUAGUAGCUGGUUCCUGCCGAAG